AGCGAUGGUUUUUCUAUAUUUAUACAUGUGUGUGUGUGUGUGUGUAUAUGUGUGUGCGUGUGUAUGUGUGUGUGUCCCCCUUUUUUUGGCACCUUCCUACGCCCGUGGAAGGGUUGGGGGAGCCGGGGAGGAGGCUGUCAUAUAACGGAGCCAACCAUCACCACUUUACACUAUAGCUCCAUGUAUCAUAUUGACCGCAAUAUCCAGGCAGCACGAAACCAAGUUUACUGUCUGUGUUUGUUAUUUAAGGAAUCGUGCCAGUUUUGACCCCAAGAGGACAGCCGCAUGGCGAAUAUAUUCCAAGAAAAUGACAAAAGGUUCAAAGAUCAUCCUAAGAUUAACGAAAAAUCCAAUUACUGGACUGCUCUGGUAUCCGCAGACGACUCUCUCUGGGAAUAAAGUGCUUACUCAAACACUUGCUCGUCGGGGAAAACCUGGACAUUUCGCAGUACUAAUGCUCCGUGUACACAAAGCUUCCGAGAGUUACCAGCCACAUGUAAAUAAAAAAAAUAAAAACCUUCAAAACU